AGUGAACGCUGGCGGUAGGCCUAACACAUGCAAGUCGAACGGCAGCACAGUAAGAGCCUGCUCUUACGGGUGGCGAGUGGCGGACGGGUGAGGAAUACAUCGGAAUCUACUUUUUCGUGGGGGAUAACGUAGGGAAACUUACGCUAAUACCGCAUACGACCUACGGGUGAAAGCAGGGGAUCUUCGGACCUUGCGCGAUUGAAUGAGCCGAUGUCGGAUUAGCUAGUUGGCGGGGUAAAGGCCCACCAAGGCGACGAUCCGUAGCUGGUCUGAGAGGAUGAUCAGCCACACUGGAACUGAGACACGGUCCAGACUCCUACGGGAGGCAGCAGUGGGGAAUAUUGGACAAUGGGCGCAAGCUUGAUCCAGCCAUACCGCGUGGGUGAAGAAGGCCUUCGGGUUGUAAAGCCCUUUUGUUGGGAAAGAAAAGCAGCAGGUUAAUACCCCGCUGUUCUGACGGUACCCAAAGAAUAAGCACCGGCUAACUUCGUG
rnacentral:rRNA from 1 species